GCCUUCGUGGUGUAGUGGUCAGCACGCUCGACGCGUAACCGAGAGGUCCGUGGUUCGAUUCUCGGCAAAGGCA
rfam:Stegodyphus mimosarum contig126570, whole genome shotgun sequence.